GGCCUAUUGAUGAUAAUUUUAGGUCUGACCUGCCCAAUGAUGUAGAGUUUAAUGGCCGCGGUAUUUUGACCGUGCAAAGGUAGCAUAAUCACUAGUUUUUUAAUUGGAAGCUUGAAUGAAAGGUUUGAUGAAAAAAUGACUGUCUCUGUUUAAAUUUAUUAGAAUUUUAUUUUUAAGUAAAAAAGCUUAAAUGUAUAUAGAAGACGAGAAGACCCUAUAGAGUUUUAUAUUUUGUUAGAGUAUCUGGAUUUUUAGUAUCUUUGUUUGCAUGUUUUAGCAAAUAUUUGGUUGGGGUGAUUGAAAAAUUUGUUAAACUUUUUUUUUAUUAGAACAUUUAUUUAUGAAUUUUUGAUCCUUAGAUUAAGAUUAUAAGAGAAAACUACCUUAGGGAUAACAGCGUAAUUUUUUUUAAGAGUUCUGAUCGAAAAAAAAGAUUGCGACCUCGAUGUUGGAUUAAAAGAAAUUAUUGGUGUAGCAGCUAAUAAAUUGGGUCUGUUCGACCCUUGAAAUUUUACAUGAUCUGAGUUUAAACCGGCGUGAG
rnacentral:rRNA from 1 species